AUAUCCGCGUGGGGAGUACGGUCGCUAGAAUUAAAACUCACAAGAAUUGACGGGGGCCUGCACAAGCGGUGGAGCAUGUGGUUUUAUUCGAAGCAACGCGCAGAACCUUACCAACGUUUGACAUCCCUAUGGGGGAUUGUGGAGACACUUUCCUUCAGUUCGGCUGGAUAGGUGACAGGUGCUGCAUGGCUGUCGUCAGCUCGUGUCGUGAGAUGUUGGGUUAAGUCCCGCAACGAGCGCAACCCUCGCCUUUAGUUGCCAGCAUUUAGUUGGGUACUCUAAAGGAACCGCCGGUGAUAAGCCGGAGGAAGGUGGGGAUGACGUCAAGUCCUCAUGGCCCUUACGCGUUGGGCUACACACGUGCUACAAUGGCGACUACAGUGGGCAGCCACCUCGCGAGAGGGAGCUAAUCUCCAAAAGUCGUCUCAGUUCGGAUCGUUCUCUGCAACUCGAGAGCGUGAAGGCGGAAUCGCUAGUAAUCGCGGAUCAGCAUGCCGCGGUGAAUACGUUCCCAGGCCUUGUACACACCGCCCGUCACACCAUGGGAGUUGGAUUCACUCGAAGGCGUUGAGCUAACCGUAAGGAGGCAGGCGACCAUUAGGGUUGCCGU
rnacentral:rRNA from 1 species